UAAAAAUGAAUGUGUUUAUUAUUCAUUCAUCACCUAGUCAGUCAGUUAAAAGCACAUUUCAUACGCGCCAGAACUGUGUGACUAUUAUGCAGGCCACCAAGGAGGAACACUAGCUACCCUGUAGAAUCACCACUAAAAUAAGAUAACACUGGCAAGGUCUGCGGCCAGGAAGCGAUGGGUAGGAACUAGCUAGCACAGGGGCUGGCUCAUGACCAACUGCUGAAACCAUGAGCACAAGGAGCUUCAAAGACAGAAUCAUCACACUAAACUUCUCUGACAGUGAAGGGAGCCUUGAAUGACAAGUAAGGUAUGAAAGACAGAGAUGUGAGAAAUGCUGGGAAAUGCACUGUAUAAAACCACAGCAAUGGACUCCCACUGUAGCCCUUCACUGGCUGCAGAGAAGAGGGGAGGAAGCCCUACCUAGCUCAUCCGUGAUGAGGUGCUUCCCUUGAAUGGAGUUCCGGCACUGGUUGCCAGGCCGACUGCUGUUCCCCAGGUGAAAUUGCACCUUCCACGGAAUGGGCUGGUCGUGGUCUUGAACCUGGAGGAGAUUCCGAUCUCUCACUGCUCUUUCCUCCUACAAAGAGACCACAAAUGGGAAGGGAGGAACUGGCACUGGCAGAAACCGGGUAGGUCAUACAAAAACAGCAUCUGUGUUCCUUGGUUGGCGCAAGAAGAGGGGCUAACUGCAGAAGCCUUGGGAAUAUGGGACGAAUCACUUUGGUGGACGCGGCCUGACUACCUGUAAAUUUAUACUCUUCUGCUCUGCUGGGACCCUAUCAAUUAACUGCAGAAUCAAGCGAUGUGCAAAUGAAAUUGAGCUUCAAAUGCUGCCCUAGAUAAAUUCAUAGCCAUAAAGAUCAGUAAGCAGCUGGUCAAAGUACCCUGGAUCUCACAAUGAGGCUAAAAGUACUCUUACCACUACUCUCAAACUGUCCUGUUACCUCUUCCCGAGAGAAAACAGAAGUUCACAGAUAAGUGCAUCCCAGAAGGGCUUCUUCCACAUAACUCUGCUCCUGGUAAACAGGGAGGCUAGUAUUCCAGCACUUAAACUUGUUUUCAAAUAUGAAUAAUCAAGACCUUGCCAAGAGGAUUUGGUAAGAGUUGUACAAUCAAAAAAGACUGUACAAGAGAUAGAGUGAGACAAGUAGCAAAUGUCACGAAUUAGUAUACGUUUGCUUUUCUGAGGGUCCAGUCUCACCAACAGUGUAAUGAAGGGGCGCUGAGGGGAUUCCUUCCAUGGUUUUAAACCCUUUCCAAACUGACCUACCCUAUUAGGUUGUCUUCAUUCUAGGCUUUUGUACAUAUACACGUGCAUGCACAUGUGUGUGAGUGCCUGCAUGUAUGUUCCCCCCACAAAGGUAUCAAGUCCUCACAAUGCAUUAAAGAUAUAUAGACAAGGGGAGCCAGUACUCUAUUCUCAGAAUCCCCAGAGCAAUCGAUAAAGAAGUGUGUACAAGAAUCAGUGCAAUCAACCACAACAGACAUCCACACAGGGUGCACGGGGGUACAAAGAGUGGAAACAAAAAGGAGCAAAACAAGCAGAAAAACAUGAGACCUUUCUUCAUCAAUUAUAAAGCACUAUAGUAAUGUUUUCAUUACUAGUAUAUGGUACUUAACCUUAUUCUAAAAGGAGUAUUUCAAUAGCUGCCCCAUCUAUUUUCCAGGGGCUACGACAAGGGUCAAAUGAGAUAAAUGUCCCAUGGUUGGUGAAUUACGGGUCAUGUUCUGUACCCUGGGCCGUACUUAAACUUUCUGAAAAAUACACAUACCUUGGUGAUCCAAACAAAGCAAAACAAAAACAGAUUAGCAAUUCUCUUAUGAUUUGUUAACACUUCAGAAGUAUCUAACUCACACAUUUAAUCCACUGUAAUUUACAUAGUUAUUUUAAAAGCUAAAGAUUGUUAAUAUAUUUCCAGUGAGUUAUGCCAAGAGUCCUGAGACUUUCAAGGACUGCUCCACCGGAACGUGAGAACAUUUAUUUACAUGAGAGGACUCUAAGGACCCUCUGACUCCAAGACUGGGAUUUCUUCCGUCUCAGCUUAGAUGCCCCACAGGGGUAGGCCCACCCUGCUGCUCUGUCACAACACCUUGCUGUUUCCUUCCUUUGGUACAUAAAUUGUCAUCUGAAAUCAUUCUGGCCACUCUCCAUUUCUGCCCCCUUAUUCUCUGGCAGAUUAUAGGCUUUUGGAGAGUGAGACCUCAUCUGCUUUGCCCCCCGCUGUGUCUCCACCACCUAGCAGACAGGACCUAGCCCACGGCGGAGGUUCACUAAACAUUUGUUAAGUAAAGGUGCUCAAGACAGUUGGCACCCGUUCCUCUCCCCCAACGGCAUCUCCACCACUGUCAUUAAUUUCUCCUGCACUCCCAUCUCUACAAUUUCAACUAUCCCCCAAAGCAUUAAUUAACUUGAAAACCAAAGAAAAGAGGAAUUCAAAGCAACAGAGGAUAAUCAGCUAGUCUCCAGGCACAGCAGCUGCGUCUGCUCCAAGUUCAGAGUUUCUCCAAAGCAAAGCAUGGGGCCCUACCUAGCCUUACAACUUUUCAUGGCCUCUUCUCAAUUCAAUCCCAACACACACACACCAGGGCCCUAAACACUCCACACAAUAUCUCCGUCUCACAGAAAGAGAAAUUGAGGCUAGGCAAAAUACGUCAAACUCACCUCUAGUCGAACAGCUCAGGGGUGAUGGAUAACCAGAAUUGCAGCAGGGAGCAGAGCAAGAGGAGCAAACUCAAAUGUAUAUGAACAGCAUCAGCCAGAAUGGGCUCUGAGUUGUGGGUCCCAAGGACCUUUCUUAUUCUUUAUAUUGAGAAUCUUGAUAUGUGGGUUUAUAAGGAUCAUGGCUAUUGAUAUUUAUCACAUUGGAAAUUAAAAAAAUAAAUUCUUAAAAUACUUAAA